AAGCGUGCGUAGGCGGUUUAUCAAGUCAGAUGUGAAAUCCCCGGGCUUAACCUGGGAACUGCAUUUGAAACUGGUCAACUAGAGUAUGGUAGAGGACAGUGGAAUUUCUGGUGUAGCGGUGAAAUGCGUAGAUAUCAGAAGGAACAUCAAUGGCGAAGGCAGCUUUCUGGCCCAAUACUGACGCUGAGGUACGAAAGCGUGGGUAGCAAACAGGAUUAGAUACCCUGGUAGUCCACGCCGUAAACGAUGAUAACUAGCCGUUGGGGGGAUUUACCCUUUAGUGGCGAAGCUAACGCGUUAAGUUAUCCGCCUGGGGAGUACGGCCGCAAGGCUAAAACUCAAAGGAAUUGACGGGGACCCCGCACAAGCGGUGGAGCAUGUGGUUUAAUUCGAUGCAACGCGAAGAACCUUACCUGGUCUUGACAUCCUGCGAACUUUCUAGAAAUAGAUUGGUGCCUUCGGGAACGCAGUGACAGGUGCUGCAUGGCUGUCGUCAGCUCGUGUCGUGAGAUGUUGGGUUAAGUCCCGUAACGAGCGCAACCCCUAUCCUUAUUUGCCAGCACAUUAUGGUGGGAACUAUAAGGAGACUGCCGGUGAUAAACCGGAGGAAGGCGGGGAUGACGUCAAGUCAUCAUGGCCCUUACGACCAGGGCUACACACGUGCUACAAUGGGAAGGACAAAGAGCCGCGAAGCCGCGAGGUGUAGCUAAUCUCACAAAUCUUCUCGUAGUCCGGAUUGGAGUCUGCAACUCGACUCCAUGAAGUCGGAAUCGCUAGUAAUCGUGGAUCAGAAUGCUACGGUGAAUACGUUCCCGGGUCUUGUACACACCGCCCGUCAUACCAUGGGAGUGGGUUGCACCAGAAGUGGCUAGUCUAACUUAGUGAGGACAGUCACCACGGUGUGAUUCAUGACUGGGGUAAAGUCGUAACAAGGUA
rnacentral:rRNA from 1 species